UGUGUACUCCCUCCGUUCCGAAAUACUUGACUUCCAUUUGUCCAAAAAUGGAUGUACCUAUAUACUAAAACAUGUCUAGAUACUGAUAGAUCUAUAUUUUGAGAAAUAGAAGGCAUGUAUUGUGGAACGGAGGGAGUAGAAU
rfam:Triticum aestivum genome assembly, contig: Triticum_aestivum_CS42_TGACv1_scaffold_145840_2BS